rnacentral:lncRNA from 1 species
GAAAAGAUAUGGAUGAAUGGGGUUGUUGGGGUUUACAAUUUCAUCUUAUCCACUCUCUUAUAUAUACUUUUCUUAUUUAAUUCGCUUAAUUAUCUAAUUGUCAUGCAAACUUUCUUGGCCUACCCUAAACCCAAUUCCUUGGCGAAAAGAGCCUACUAUUAAUUACUAGUUUACUAUCUCUAGUCUCCCUGAGUAAUUAAUAAUGCAUUAAACACUAAAGCAAAAUAAAAUUGAUCGUCCUACCCC